GCUCACUUUGGAAGCAUAUUAAAACUGGAACAAUACAAAGAUUAGCAUGGCCCCUGCAACAAGAAGACAUGCAAAUUCAUAAUAUAAGUAGCUAACAAAAUUCUU